rnacentral:lncRNA from 1 species
AGAAUAUGCCGUUCCUAUGGUAGCUGCUCCUGUAAUUGAGGCUCUUGUGGCAUAAAAACCUCUGUUAUGUUGUCUUUGGUCUUGCAACAUGCGCUAGCUGGCGGGUACUUCUGGUAAGUAGGUUAUUGAUUAUACCUAUUUUGUUCAUUUUCUGUUUCCGAUAUGUUGACUUUACGCCGAAACUGUUUUUGUAUGUUCACUUUUAUUCUUGUAAUAGUGCGCUUGCAGGACUUGAAAGGUAAAUUGAGCUUCUAAUUCUAUAAUGUGUGUGUAAGUUAAAGACUUCUAAGUUAGAACGGAGAUGCUUAUGCGCAUCUAGAGAUGGAGUUACUACAGGCAGGUGGACAACUAUAUGUAGGGGUGGCAAACAGGCGGAUCGGAUCGGAUAUGAGAUGGGUCGAAAGCGGAUAAAAUAUCCGACCCGAUCCAUAUUUAAUAUGGAUAAAAAACGGGUCAACCGGUAGAGAAUGACUUCUUGAAUAUGAUCACUUUUGGGAGAACUGAUAGUCUCCCAAACUCGAGGAACCUCCAAUUUGAGGCUUUAUAAAUAUAAAAGUUAAACCCAUUAGUUAUUCAUUGGUUAUUGAUGGUAGGCUAGGAACACGUAUUUUAGCUGCAUUUUGCACUCUAAUUAUUGCACUUUGAGCAUGUUUGAGCUUAAAUGAUGGUGAUUUGCACUUAUAACGUGUUUCAUACCUUACAGGAAAUGAUUCUGAGUUAAAAAGAUAAAUUGGAUCUAAAUAGAAUAAUCUGGAGCUUUGAAGUCUGAGUAAAAGCCAAAGAAUUAAAUCGGGAUUGCGUCGGAGGCUCGAUGUUGCACACAAAAGUUGGAAGAAAGAGCAAGGGUUAUGACAUUUGUACUAAUGCUUCGCAUCAUGCGUAGCACAGUGCGACGCAUAAGUGCAAAUGUGCGUAAAAAAUUUGAGAAGUUCAGAGACUAAUAGUUUUUGGGUCUGACAGAAAAAUACACUAAUACUACGCAUAGUGCGUGGCAUAGUGCGUAGCAUCAGUACAAAAUUUUGUCAGAUAAGCUAAGUUCAGAGAGUUUACAACCGAGCAAAUUGCACUAAUACUACGCACCCUACGUAGCAUAGUGCGACGCAUGAAGUGUAAAAAGUUUGUAGGUUUUCCCAUUUCGGCUCAAAGAGGGUAGUUUCGUCCGGAUUCGUUCCUACUUGGUAUAAAUACACUAGAAACACGUUUUUAAUUGGACUUUUAAUCUUAGAAGCUUUGGGAGAGCAUUGGAGGCUACAAGGCACGGGAUUUCAUCAAUUCAAUACGGAGUUUGGAUUGUAACGUUAGAUUGAUGCUUUCUUAUUCUUUAACUCUUUUUGUAAUGACUUCCUCCAAAAUUAUGGAGUAGUUUACCUUAGGGUUUGACAUGAAUUGGUGACUUUGUUAUUGUUUAUGGAUUUGAG